UACGAAUGGGGCAAGCGUUGUUCGGAAUCACUGGGCUUAAAGCGUAUGCAGGCGGCCGCGCAAGUCAGAAGUGAAAUCCCUGGGCUUAACCCAGGAAUUGCUUUUGAAACUGCACGGCUAGAAUCCCGGAGAGGUUAACAGAAUUCCGAGUGUAGAGGUGAAAUUCGCAGAUAUUCGGAGGAAUACCAGUGGCGCAAGCGGUUAACUGGACGGGCAUUGACGCUCAGAUACGAAAGCAUGGGGAGCAAACAGG
rnacentral:rRNA from 1 species